UUCUUCUUGUAGACAAGAGGUAGGUCCUGUCCCAUGAUUAGUUAAAUGACCGCAGUAUUUUGACUGUGCUAAGGUAGCGUAGUAAUUUUUUCUUUAAUUAAGAGAUUGGAUGAAAGGAUUAACAAGAAUAUAACUUUACCUUUUUUUUUUGAUAAUUUUCUUUUAAAGUUAAAAAGCUUUAUUAUUUUAAAGGGACGAUAAGACCCUAAAAACUAUACAAAUAUAUCAUAUAUAGUGGUUUGUUUGUUUAACUGGGGCGGUUAUACUUUUGGAACAAUUAUUAAUAUAACAUUGUGGGUGGUUUUUUUUUGAGCUUUUGUACAAGAAGGAGAGUUACUUUAGGGAUAACAGCGUAAUUAUAUUGGAGAGUUCUAAUUGAUGAUAAAAGUUGCGACCUCGAUGUUGAAUUAAAUAGUUUCUUUGGGCAGUAUAAAAGAGGAGAAGGUCUGUUCGACCUAUAAUUGUUU
rnacentral:rRNA from 1 species